rnacentral:lncRNA from 1 species
UCUCCAGACUGCGUGUGAGCACAGAGGAGGGACCGCUUUCCAAAUGCACUUCACUCUGAGAGGCCUCCGAUGCUCUGUCAUCAGUGCUCACUCCCUCCACGGACGAGGAGACCCCAGGACCAAGAAAGUGCCACCUUCCGUGGUAACAGGGCUGACAGUGGAGAUGACGCGCAGGAAGCGGGACGGUGGGGCCAACAGAUGUAGUUUCCGUGGAAUUUUUCAAAGUGAAAAGGCGGAUUGUUAA